rnacentral:lncRNA from 1 species
GCAAUUGAUGGACUAAAUAGCAAGUUCUGUGGGAUCACAAGGACUUAUUUAUAAAAAUCAUAACUUUGGAUGUAAACUUACAGUAAGGAAAAGUCAAUAGUCAGCACCAUUGAGUAUAAAAUGGUGGAUCUCUUAUUUGCAACAAUUGCAAAAAUAUCUCAAUUGGCCGUCAAAUACCUUGGUAUUGCCAUUCGAAUGCAUGGUCAUUCACCCCUACUUGAUAAUUAAAAACAUUAUACUACUCACUUAGUACCUUUUCCCUUUAUCUUCUUCAAAAGAGAUUUUGAUGUUUCAUCUGAUUUCUAGUCUUUACCUCAAUAGGAAGUUUUUAGAAAUAAUUAUGUGUAAUGGGCAUAUGAUCUGUCCUACAUAAGCUAUGGUAAUAAGAAAUAUAAUAGAUAUUAGCCUGCUUACAAGCUUCCUGUGUGAAACUAUAGCCACUGCAAUUGAAAUCCCUUGUAAUUCAAUUUAAACAUUAGCUUUUGAAUCAACAAUUGAAAUUCAAAUUACAAUUCAAAGAUAAGAAUUACACGUCACCUACUAAAAAGAGAUUAUAACACAAAUAUUAAAGAAAUUGUGUGUUUAAUUUUUCAUUAACCUCAACAAAUUAAAACUGGUACAUAAGUAAUACAAUCAACUUAACUAAUUGUGUGCUAAUUGGUUGAAUGUCAUCAUAGUUCAUUAAGUAAUGAUUUAUUUUUAAAUCGGUUAGAUAGAUCAUGAAUUUACCAAAGAUUGGAGCCCAAAGUGCGAGCAGCACACCAAUAUUGUAAAAGUACAUAACCUAAUUUUAGAAAACUAAAUAAAAGGUAUUUGAAAUCUUAUAUUUUUUUCCUUUUAAUACAAUAUUACCUUUGUGGGAGAAGUACUUCUGUCUAUGUGAAUGUUGGGGUGUCAUCUAUUAAUCACAUAUACACAUCUGAUCACAAAAUCUAUAAUAAUGUGAGAAUAAUAAUGUAAAAACAAAGUAGCCUUUAGAAAAUACUUCAACAAACAAUUAUAUAAUAAACCUCAUUAAAAUAUAAUUUUUGCAAUGAUGGUCUGUAAACCCUGCACCAUCAAAUAAAAUAUAAAAUCACAAGAAAUAAAGAUGAUUUUAAUGCUUCCCUAUAAAUGAUUAAAUUAACCGGAAACAAAUUAGAAUUAAAACAGGGAAUAUGACCAGUAAGCAAGGUCUGCUAUCUACAUGACCCACAUAUUAGGCCAUCUAUGUGCAUCACCUUCUCUGUUUCGACUCACUAUCUUCAAUACAAAGUUGAAUUUGGAAUGUUAUUUGAAACAGAGAGUAAAGAUUGGACAAUUUAGUAUGUAUAUACAAAAAGUUGCAGAAAAAAAGCAACUGAGUAGAAAUGAUGAAGAUAUAUAUAUACCUAUAGGACCACUGGAGUAUGAAAUUUGUCUUUGGAUUGUGCACGAAUUUGAAUCAUCAAAACUUCAUAAUCCAACAAAGCAUGCUUGAAGCUUGGCUAUGCCAUAUUUAUUAUUAAGAAACCUACCCCACAUGAUAAAUACAACACAAAUCACCAAAAACUCAUCUUAAAUUGAAAAUUACAUCUUUAGUACAUUAGGUUUUGGAAGCUCAUGCUGAACUUUCUUGAUGUCAGUUAAAUACUAAAAUAGUGAAGGACACUUCAUACCUAAGGAUUUCUCCAUAAAUAACUUACCUUUCCACUCAUAUAAGAUUCAUAAACAUUAAAUUAACAAGAAAAGAAUAUGAUUGAAGAAUAUUUGAUAGAAAAAUUUCAAGAAAUGUCUACUCACUGAUUCAGAAGCAUAAUCGUUCGGUGCAUAUUUGACUCUAAAAUAUAGAAGUGGAACCGUUUCAACAUCCAUGCAAGUAAGUUAACUUUCAAUAUUUAGUUGGUGUUCGAAGAUAGUUUUCCCAAAUUACAUAAAUACCAAUAUACAAACACACAUAGCUUUAACAAGAUUGACAUACACACAUUUGUACAUAUUUAUACAUCAUAAACAUGUAGCCUGUAAAAAUUUAUCAGAUUGUAAUACAUAUAUUUAUACAUACAAACACAUUUUUCCACACAUAACUUUAAUCAUCAACAUAAAAUUGAAAAAAAAUGAAAAAAAAAAAAAAAGAAACAAAAAUAAAUGAAAGAUGUACCUUUGAGUUUAGAUUCCCGUCCGUCUAAAAGGGAAAGUAGAAAAUUAAUUUAGUAGUUUCACAAACCUACAUAAAUGGAAAAGAAAACAAAUCAAAUUAAAACCAGAAUCGGAACACUUCGUAUUCCAAAAGUAUAAUCAAAAUUACUCAAUGUAGACGAUGGUUGCUCAGAAUUUCCAUAGUUAGGGUUUUAUGAUAGAGUAAUAGAGAGACAUAGAGAAGAAAGAGAUUUUGGUGUUGUAUUGGUGGUUUGGUAGAGAUGAGAAGGAAGUACCGGAAUCUUAGUGAGAAUCAUCGCUUGAGGUAUCAGAAAAAUGGAGGCGGCAGUGAUCUGACAACGUAGGAUGCGGUGACAAAUGCUAGAGUUUUUGUUCGUGCAAACGGCGAUGUGAGAAAGUUAGAGGAAAAAAAGAGAUCGAAUAUCUUCCAAUUUGAAUGAGUCUCCACUGAAUCUCGGAUUGACUGAUUCAAUUGGGUGAAGAUGAAGAGCCGAUUCAGUUGGGUGAAGAUGAAGAGAAAGGUGAAUAUAUGCAGAAUUUAAGAUAUUUAAGAUAUUUGCUGAAGCGUAUUUGAAUGAAAAAUCUUUCAAAUUUUGAAUGAACACUGAAU